rnacentral:rRNA from 1 species
AUCAACGGCCGCGGUAUCUUGACCGUGCGAAGGUAGCAUAAUAGUUUGCCUUUUAAUUGAAGGCUGGAAUGAAUGGAUAUACGAGGUUAAAGCUGUCUCGGUCUUAUUUCUAAAAAUUGGUUUUUAGGUGAAGAAACCUAAAUCUAAAUGAAGGACAAAAAGACCCUAUUGAGCUUUAUUUUUAUAGGAUUUAAAAUAUAUUAUAUGAUAACUUUAAUAAAUUUGGUUGGGGCAACAAAGGAAUAAACUUAUCUUCCUUAAUAUUUUAGAAUAAUUUUUCGAAUAAGAGAUCUAAAAAAUUAAUAAGAAGAAAGAGUUACCAUAGGGAUAACAGGCUAAUUCUUUUGGAGAGUUCAAAUUGAUAAAAGAGUUUGGCACCUCGAUGUUGGCUUAAAGUAUCCUGUAGGUGCAGCAGCUUACAAGGGUUGGUUUGUUCAACCAUUAAAACUUUACGUGAUCUGAGUCAGACCGGA